rnacentral:rRNA from 1 species
GGGUUGUGAGGUUAAGCGACUAAGCGUACACGGUGGAUGCCCUGGCAGUCAGAGGCGAUGAAGGACGUGCUAAUCUGCGAUAAGCGUCGGUGAGGUGAUAUGAACCGUUAUAACCGGCGAUUUCCGAAUGGGGAAACCCAGUGUGUUUCGACACACUAUCAUUAACUGAAUCCAUAGGUUAAUGAGGCGAACCGGGGGAACUGAAACAUCUAAGUACCCCGAGGAAAAGAAAUCAACCGAGAUUCCCCCAGUAGCGGCGAGCGAACGGGGAGGAGCCCAGAGCCUGAAUCAGUGUGUGUGUUAGUGGAAGCGUCUGGAAAGGCGUGCGAUACAGGGUGACAGCCCCGUACACAAAAAUGCACAUAUUGUGAGCUCGAUGAGUAGGGCGGGACACGUGGUAUCCUGUCUGAAUAUGGGGGGACCAUCCUCCAAGGCUAAAUACUCCUGACUGACCGAUAGUGAACCAGUACCGUGAGGGAAAGGCGAAAAGAACCCCGGCGAGGGGAGUGAAAAAGAACCUGAAACCGUGUACGUACAAGCAGUGGGAGCCUCUUAAUGGGGUGACUGCGUACCUUUUGUAUAAUGGGUCAGCGACUUAUAUUCUGUAGCAAGGUUAACCGAAUAGGGGAGCCGAAGGGAAACCGAGUCUUAACUGGGCGUUAAGUUGCAGGGUAUAGACCCGAAACCCGGUGAUCUAGCCAUGGGCAGGUUGAAGGUUGGGUAACACUAACUGGAGGACCGAACCGACUAAUGUUGAAAAAUUAGCGGAUGACUUGUGGCUGGGGGUGAAAGGCCAAUCAAACCGGGAGAUAGCUGGUUCUCCCCGAAAGCUAUUUAGGUAGCGCCUCGUGAAUUCAUCUCCGGGGGUAGAGCACUGUUU